rnacentral:rRNA from 1 species
GAUGAACGCUGGCGGCGUGCCUAAUACAUGCAAGUCGAGCGAAUGGAUUAAGAGCUUGCUCUUAUGAAGUUAGCGGCGGACGGGUGAGUAACACGUGGGUAACCUGCCCAUAAGACUGGGAUAACUCCGGGAAACCGGGGCUCAUACCGGAUAACAUUUUGAACCGCAUGGGUCGAAAUUGAAUGGCGGCUUCGGCUGUCACUUAUGGAUGGACCCGCGUUGCAUUAGCUAGUUGGUGAGGUAACGGCUCACCAAGGCAACGAUGCGUAGCCGACCUGAGAGGGUGAUCGGCCACACUGGGACUGAGACACGGCCCAGACUCCUACGGGAGGCAGCAGUAGGGAAUCUUCCGCAAUGGACGAAAGUCUGACGGAGCAACGCCGCGUGAGUGAUGAAGGCUUUCGGGUCGUAAAACUCUGUUGUUAGGGAAGAACAAGUGCUAGUUGAAUAAGCUGGCACCUUGACGGUACCUAACCAGAAAGCCACGGCUAACUACGUGCCAGCAGCCGCGGUAA